GACGAACGCUGGCGGCGUGCUUAACACAUGCAAGUCGAACGGAAAGGCCCUGCUUUUGUGGGGUGCUCGAGUGGCGAACGGGUGUGUAACACGUGAGUAACCUGCCCUUGACUUUGGGAUAACUUCAGGAAACUGGGGCUAAUACCGGAUAGGAGCUCCUGCUGCAUGGUGGGGGUUGGAAAGUUUCGGCGGUUGGGGAUGGACUCGCGGCUUAUCAGCUUGUUGGUGGGGUAGUGGCUUACCAAGGCUUUGACGGGUAGCCGGCCUGAGAGGGUGACCGGCCACAUUGGGACUGAGAUACGGCCCAGACUCCUACGGGAGGCAGCAGUGGGGAAUAUUUCACAAUGGGCGGAAGCCUGAUGCAGCAACGCCGCGUGCGGGAUGACGGCCUUCGGGUUGUAAACCGCUUUCGCCUGUGACGAAGCGUGAGUGACGGUAAUGGGUAAAGAAGCACCGGCUAACUACGUG
rnacentral:rRNA from 1 species